CUUCACCUCGUACGUAAAUCAUUAUGGUUGCUCGGAUUCCCAAGCCGGCUCAAACGACGCGUAUACUGGGGUCUUCAGUCGCACCUGGGAGGAGUAAAAUGAGCCCCCACCUUUCCAUCGGCGGAAGGCGAACACCUUGCUAGUCCUAGGCAGCUAAGCUGUCAGGCUACAUAGUAGGCUAGCUAGUUUAUUAUUUAAAUGUGUAGUUUAUUCAUUAGCAAUGGCGUAAUGUAAUAAUAUUUCCAGGAGUAGAAACAAGGCGAUCUACUGACAUGGGUGUAAACGAUAUUCAGUCGCCCUUGGUAUUGCGAGACGUAAAACCACCUUCCACCUGUAUAGCUUUUGGGGAUUAAAAAUAAAUACUUUAAAAGUAA